rnacentral:rRNA from 1 species
AGAUAAUAGAUACCCUGGUAGUCCACGCCGUAAACGAUGGAUGCUAGCUGUUAUCAGUAUCGACCCUGGUAGUAGCGAAGCUAACGCGUUAAGCAUCCCGCCUGGGGAGUACGGUCGCAAGAUUAAAACUCAAAGGAAUUGACGGGGACCCGCACAAGCGGUGGAGCGUGUUGUUUAAUUCGACGCUAAGCGAAGAACCUUACCAAGGUUUGACAUCUCGGGAAAGUCUCCGAAAGGAGACCGUGCCUUCGGGAACCCGAUGACAGGUGUUGCAUGGCCGUCGUCAGCUCGUGUCGUGAGAUGUUUGGUUAAGUCCAUCAACGAGCGCAACCCUUGUAGUCUGUUGCAUUUCUCAGGCUAGACUGCCCCGGUAACGGGGAGGAAGGAGGGGAUGAUGUCAGGUCAGUAUUACCCUUACACCUUGGGCCACAAACACGCUACAAUGGCCGAUACAAAGGGCUGCCAAGCAGCAAUGCGGAGCAAAUCCCAUCAAAGUCGGUCUCAGUUCGGAUUGUUGGCUGAAACUCGCCAGC